rnacentral:ncRNA from 1 species
AGAAUCCCGUCCAGUAGAGCUUGACCAGCAACUGGAAGCGAGUUUUGCGUGGUGCCGGGUGACCGGUCCUGCGAAGCGUAAACAGCGAAUCCGAAAGCCAUGCUAUUGAGCGUCGAAAGACCCAAUCGUGGGAGCCUUUGCCUUUUGAUGACCAAGGGCCACGUUGCUGCACUGUAUGGGUCUGGUGCAAGCAGUCCUGCCGGCGUCGGUUUGGAACA